CCCUUAGAUGUUCUGGGCCGCACGCGCGCUACACUGAUGCAUUCAACGAGUUUUUCCUGGUCCGAGAGGAAUGGGUAACCUUUUGAAAGUGCAUCGUGCUAGGGAUAGACUAUUGCAAUUAUUGGUCUUCAACGAGGAAUUCCUAGUAGACGUAGUUCAUCAGACUGCAUCGAUUACGUCCCUGCCCUUUGUACACACCGCCCGUCGCUCCUACCGAUUGAACGAUCCGGUGAAUUAUUUGGAGUAGCUCUGGAAGUUGCAGAACUUCCUAUGUCACGAAAUUUUGUAAACCUUAUCGUUUAGAGGAAGGAAAAGUCGUAACA
rnacentral:rRNA from 1 species